rnacentral:rRNA from 1 species
AUGCUGUGAGCUCGAUGAGUAGGGCGGGACACGUGGUAUCCUGUCUGAAUAUGGGGGGACCAUCCUCCAAGGCUAAAUACUCCUGACUGACCGAUAGUGAACCAGUACCGUGAGGGAAAGGCGAAAAGAACCCCGGCGAGGGGAGUGAAAAAGAACCUGAAACCGUGUACGUACAAGCAGUGGGAGCACAGGUUUACCUGUGUGACUGCGUACCUUUUGUAUAAUGGGUCAGCGACUUAUAUUCUGUAGCAAGGUUAACCGAAUAGGGGAGCCGGAGGGAAACCGAGUCUUAAUUGGGCGUUAAGUUGCAGGGUAUAGACCCGAAACCCGGUGAUCUAGCCAUGGGCAGGUUGAAGGUUGGGUAACACUAACUGGAGGACCGAACCGACUAAUGUUGAAAAAUUAGCGGAUGACCUGUGGCUGGGGGUGAAAGGCCAAUCAAACCGGGAGAUAGCUGGUUCUCCCCGAAAGCUAUUUAGGUAGCGCCUCGUGAAUUCAUCUCCGGGGGUAGAGCACUGUUUCGGCUAGGGGGCCAUCCCGGCUUACCAACCCGAUGCAAACUGCGAAUACCGGAGAAUGUUAUCACGGGAGACACACGGCGGGUGCUAACGUCCGUCGUGAAGAGGGAAACAACCCAGACCGCCAGCUAAGGUCCCAAAGUCAUGGUUAAGUGGGAAACGAUGUGGGAAGGCCCAGACAGCCAGGAUGUUGGCUUAGAAGCAGCCAUCAUUUAAAGAAAGCGUAAUAGCUCACUGGUCGAGUCGGCCUGCGCGGAAGAUGUAACGGGGCUAAACCAUGCACCGAAGCUGCGGCAGCGACGCUGAUGCGUUGUUGGGUAGGGGAGCGUUCUGUAAGCCUG